GUGAUCCGCCUGCCUCAGCCUCCCAAAGUGCUGAGAUUACAGGCGUGAGCCACCGCACCAGAUCUUCCAGCAGUUACAUGGCAGAUAUUUUCAAGCCCUUCCAGUCACCCAUUGCCUUGGCAAUGUCAUCACCAACCUUUUUUGGAGACAGACCCCUGAUCUUGGGGACCAGCGCAGAAGUGGCAACGACUCCCCCCACCGCCCGCCGUGCACCUCAGUAGAGACGGGGUUUCACCAUGUUGGCCAGGAUGGUCUUAAUC